CUUCGUUCCCUGACCAGGGAUUGAACAUGCGUCCCCAGCACUGGAAGCAGAGUCUUGCCCACUGGACCUCCAGGGAAGUCCUUCAUCAUUCUUCCACGUCAGUGCUUUCCUGAUACAAAUGUGCUUAGAACGGAGCUCACUUACCAGGAAAAGGACCUUUAUGAAGGGAAAGUGCUCUGGGUGAAACUUAUUCCUGCCAGAAACCCUUGUCCUCGCCCUUCCCCCCACCUACCCUGAGGUGCAGGAAUGCCAAACUGGGAAAGCUUGGGGUCCAGGCUUCCGCUGGGGUUUCUGCCAAGGUGAGCCUGCCUGUUGGGAUCAUUGUCCGCUCUCCAUCUCUCAGCAAACACACCUAGAGCGACUUUUGCAGCCAGGUUUUCGUUAACUUCCUUUGCUUUGAUCUGUCCUGAUUAAGCCAUGAUGUUCUGCAUGGUUGAUAAAGCCUGCCUGUUCAUCUCCUUCCUUAAAGAAAUUGGGGCCAUCUAUCAAGCGUGGGGGAUUUCCCAAACAUGGCGCAGUGGAUGGUGGGAGCAUCCGGAAACUAACCCUUGUUUAAGGAACGCCUUCACGAAGCCCACCCCUUCCUUUCCUGAUAACCAAGAGGAGCUAAGUCGUGUGGCUGGUGGUUUUGAUGGAGAGCAUUCUAGCAAACACUUUGGGAAGCACCGAGAUGGUGAGCACGUACGUUCCUGGGCACGGUGGCUAGGGUGGGUCUCUGUCAUCCCGUUCUGUAGACAUUUAUUAGGCAGCAGCAUAUCCUGGGCACAGGAGACGCACUAAUGACAUACCCAGUCCUUAACCUCUAGGCAGCUGCAGGCUGGUGCAGAGACGUGGCAAACGAGACGGACAGCUCCCAUUACUUGGGAUCUCCUCUAGGUCAGGGGCUGUGGCAGCGUGGUUCCAAUCCUACUCUGCCAGCCUGCGAGGUAGGUUUUGUGAGCUUCUUUCCACUGAUGAGGC
rnacentral:lncRNA from 1 species